UACGGGGGGGUGCGAGCGUUGUCCGGAAUCACUGGGCGUAAAGGGCGCGUAGGUGGUUUGAUAAGGGUGUGGUGAAAAGCCCGGGGCUCAACCCCCGGGUCUGCCGUGCCGACUGUCAAACUCGAGGGCUGUAGAGGCAGACGGAAUUCCGGGUGUAGCGGUGGAAUGCGUAGAGAUCCGGAGGAAGACCGGUGGCGAAGGCGGUCUGCUGGGCAGUUUCUGACACUGAUGCGCGACAGCGUGGGGAGCAAACAGG
rnacentral:rRNA from 1 species